rfam:Candidatus Thrbacteria bacterium RIFCSPHIGHO2_02_FTLL_57_19 rifcsphigho2_02_scaffold_4662, whole genome shotgun sequence.
GCCCCCAUAGCUCAAGCAGAUAGAGCGCCGGACUCCUAAGCCGGAUAUCCACGUGCAACUCGUGGUGGGGGCA